UACGUAGGAUGUGAGCGUUAUCCGGAUUUAUUGGGUUUAAAGGGUGCGUAGGCGGUCCGUUAAGUCAGCGGUAAAAUUGCGGGGCUCAACCCCGUCGAGCCGUUGAAACUGUCAGACUUGAGUUGGCGAGAAGUACGCGGAAUGCGCGGUGUAGCGGUGAAAUGCAUAGAUAUCGCGCAGAACUCCGAUUGCGAAGGCAGCGUACCGGCGCCACACUGACGCUGAGGCACGAAAGCGUGGGGAUCGAACAGG
rnacentral:rRNA from 1 species